rnacentral:rRNA from 1 species
GACGAACGCUGGCGGCGUGCUUAACACAUGCAAGUCGAACGGAAAGGCCCUGCUUUUGUGGGGUGCUCGAGUGGCGAACGGGUGAGUAACACGUGAGUAACCUGCCCUUGACUUUGGGAUAACUUCAGGAAACUGGGGCUAAUACCGGAUAGGAGCUCCUGCUGCAUGGUGGGGGUUGGAAAGUUUCGGCGGUUGGGGAUGGACUCGCGGCUUAUCAGCUUGUUGGUGGGGUAGUGGAUUACCAAGGCUUUGACGGGUAGCCGGCCUGAGCGGGUGACCGGCCACAUUGGGACUGAGAUACGGCCCAGACUCCUACGGGAGGCAGCAGUGGGGAAUAUUGCACAAUGGGCGGAAGCCUGAUGCAGCAACGCCGCGUGCGGGAUGACGGCCUUCGGGUUGUAAACCGCUUUCGCCUGUGACGAAGCGUGAGUGACGGUAAUGGGUAAAGAAGCACCGGCUAACUACGUG